rnacentral:rRNA from 1 species
CCUACGGGGGGCAGCAGUGGGGAAUAUUGCACAAUGGGCGCAAGCCUGAUGCAGCCAUGCCGCGUGUGUGAAGAAGGCCUUCGGGUUGUAAAGCACUUUCAGCGGGGAGGAAGGCGGUGAGGUUAAUAACCUCAUCGAUUGACGUUACCCGCAGAAGAAGCACCGGCUAACUCCGUGCCAGCAGCCGCGGUAAUACGGAGGGUGCAAGCGUUAAUCGGAAUUACUGGGCGUAAAGCGCACGCAGGCGGUCUGUCAAGUCGGAUGUGAAAUCCCCGGGCUCAACCUGGGAACUGCACUCGAAACUGGCAGGCUAGAGUCUUGUAGAGGGGGGUAGAAUUCCAGGUGUAGCGGUGAAAUGCGUAGAGAUCUGGAGGAAUACCGGUGGCGAAGGCGGCCCCCUGGACAAAGACUGACGCUCAGGUGCGAAAGCGUGGGGAGCAAACAGGAUUAGUACCCUAGUAGUC